ACUCGAGUGGCGAACGGGUGAGUAACACGUGGGUGAUCUGCCCUGUACUUUGGGAUAAGCCUGGGAAACUGGGUCUAAUACCGAAUAUGACCACUUCUUGGAUGAGGUGGUGGAAAGCUUUUGCGGUAUGGGAUGAGCUCGCGGCCUAUCAGCUUGUUGGUGGGGCAAUGGCCUACCAAGGCGUCGACGGGUAGCCGGCCUGAGAGGGUGUACGGCCACAUUGGGACUGAGAUACGGCCCAGACUCCUACGGGAGGCAGCAGUGGGGAAUAUUGCACAAUGGGCGCAAGCCUGAUGCAGCGACGCCGCGUGGGGGAUGACGGCCUUCGGGUUGUAAACUCCUUUCGCAACCGACGAAGCUUUUGUGACGGUAGGUUGAGAAGAAGCACCGGCUAACUACGUGCCAGCAGCCGCGGUAAUACGUAGGGUGCGAGCGUUGUCCGGAAUUACUGGGCGUAAAGAGCUCGUAGGUGGUUUGUCGCGUCGUUUGUGGAAUACCGCAGCUUAACUGCGGGGUUGCAGGCGAUACGGGCAUAACUUGAGUGCUGUAGGGGAGACUGGA
rnacentral:rRNA from 1 species